GGUUCAGGUUUCUUUAUUGGUACCCGUGGGUAAACUAGGUUUACAGUCUAAGAGGCAGAACAUCCUUAAAACUUUGUAGACCACCACAUAACAUGGAACACACCAAACAUUAAAUCAUUCUGGUAUAAAAAAGACAGA